rnacentral:rRNA from 1 species
UACGUAGGGGGCAAGCGUUGUCCGGAUUUAUUGGGCGUAAAGAGCGCGUAGGCGGCUAGAUAGGUCCGUUGUGAAAACUCGAGGCUCAACCUCGAGACGUCGAUGGAAACCAUCUGGCUAGAGUCCGGAAGAGGAGAGUGGAAUUCCUGGUGUAGCGGUGAAAUGCGUAGAUAUCAUUUGGAACGCCAAUGGUGAAAACAGCUUGCUGGGGGUUUGCUGACGCUGAGACACGAAAGCCAGGGGAGCAAACGGG